rnacentral:lncRNA from 1 species
CCUCCCCCUCCUCCUGACUUCAACCAACCAGCCUCCCGUCAGAGAGGAGCAUGCGCACUCCAGGGAAGGCAUUCAAAAGUGGGGGGCAGGAAAGACAAUUACCAACUUUCCAGUUUUCUGUGGAUAUGAAGAUUUACUCCUAGUCAUCAGUGGGACCCCAUGAAGUCAGCCAGAAAGCCUAUGUCCAACUUAUGUACCUUUGCAAAUGUGUCUGUAUUUGGAAUGUAUAUGAAUAAUAGAUUAUGCUUAGCUUUCAUUAAACAUAUAUGGAGCGUCUACUGUCUGUCAGGCACUGUAUUAGGAUGAAAAACAAGGAUGGUCCCCGUAACUUAUUGUGAAGUGAUUUUUAAAUUGUAUCCACAGUAUAUUGGUCAUAUCUAUAUUUUGGUUUACCUAAAUACACUUUUUAUUGACUAAAUAGGUGGGGAAAGUGUAUGUUUGAGAAGGAUAUUGCUGUAUUUUAUUAAAAUAGAAAAAUAUAAAGAAAAAAAUUUCAUUUAAUACUGUAUUCUGGGCAUUUCUAUUCUUUAUAUAGUUCACUAAUUUUAGACUAUGAAAAUAGUUGUGGCUACCAUUGCUGGAAUUUUACUGUGCUAACCAUAAUUCUUUUGAAGAUGAUCCACACACUGCAUUAAAUUUUUUUCAAAAAAAAACCCCUCCAAACUUUAUUUUUUUAUGAAAGUAACUUUGUUCUGUCUAUAUUUCAUGUAAUAGGUUAUGUUUUAUGGUUUAUUAAAAACAUUGUACAUUUCCAUUUUGAGGUUUUAGGUAUUUUCUACCAUAUUUUAAGCAAAUCUAACACCAUAAUUUAAUUCUUGUCCAAUAAUUAGCAUGUACUUUUUAGUAGUUUUUAGUUUUUAGUAUGUAGGAGGUACACUUCCAAAUUCUCGUAAGAAACUUUGCCAUUUUGUUUCUAAAACUAUUAUAGAAUUUAAUCCUCAUUCUGUUAUGUUGCUUCUAUAAUAUUAGUAAAGUGAGUUAGAAUUUUCUUAGUCCAUGGGUAUUUCAAACACAAAGAAUCCUGUCUCAGUUUCUGUCAUAGCUUUCAUAUGUAAUGGAAAAGUAGAUUAGAAAUACUGCUAUGUUCACUUUUCCCUCAAUAUGUACAAGGUGUGAUAAAAUUCAGUGAAUGGUUAAAUUUUUAAAAAUUUAUUACAAUAAAAGACACAUUGCUAUUAAUCCUCCUCACAAUACUCCCCUUCACUCUGAACACACUUACCCAUCAUUUUGCCACUUUCUGAAGCAGUUCUGGAAAUCCUCUUUCCUGAGUGUCUUUAGUUGUGCUAUCUUGGCUGCCUCCAUGUUCUCAGUUAAUUCAAAUCAUGUACCUUUCAUGGUCAUUCAUGAAAAAGGACUUCCAGAACUUCUUGAGAAAGUAGUAAGAAUGAUGGGAUAUGUGAAAGGAAAUAUUUUGAGGAGGGUUAAUGUCUUUUACUAUAAUGAGUUUUGAAAAUUUAAAUAUUCAGUGUAUAUUUCAGUCAUAUAAGCAUGUUUUAGAGUAAUGUUGAUACAGCAGCUUGGAAAGGUAGACUUCUGAAUGGUAAAUUCAGAUCUCUUUCACAUUCAUUCUUAAUUUCCAUUUUAGUAGUAAUUAUAGUUAUCACUUAUUUUAAGUGUUUGGCACUGUGAUAAAUAUAUACGUUUCAGCCAGUCAUUCCUUCCAGUGCUCUUUGUGAACUUUGCAUUGUUGUCCUUAUGUGACAAAUGAGAAAAUCAGUUACCAACCAAAGAACACUUCAUCACUAUCCAACAGAGUACUCUAUCACGUAUCUAUGACACUUUCUAGUUUAGAACACAAUCACAGUAAAAAUUUUUGUCAUUUGUACUCUGGAAAGCAUUAGUAAAAUCAUGACCCUCAUAGCCAUUGACAGAGUAAUAGAAAUUUCUAAAGACGUUUGAGGACAGAAAACUAAACAAAAAACUCAGUUCUUUAUAAGGAACAGAGAUACAGACCAAUGUGCAACUUAAGAUGGACAUAAAUGCAGUUUUUUUCUUUGUAUUGCAAAUUUGGGCCUUCUUUCUAUUGAACUUCCUUUAAUGUGUAUUGAACUACAUUUAGUAGCAUUUUCUCACAUGAAGUUUAGAGGUUCCAACAGUAUGUGACACUAUGAAAAUGUACUAAAAAAAUUUUAUUUAAAUGUGUUGAUAGUAGAAUACAUCUAAACAAAUGGGAAUUUAUAUUAUCUAUUGCUUUGGUGCAUAUAUAUAUAUAUAUAUAUAUAUAUACACACACAAACACACACACACACAUAUAUAUAUAAAUAUAUAUAUGUACCCAUUAUCUUCUGAACUCAUAACAUUUUCCUAAUUAUAUUUCACAUAUAAGAUUAAGUCAAUGAAUUUUUCAGUAUUAAAGUCAGAAGUAUUUUUAGUAUAAGAAUGGACAACUUUGAAUUCUCUAAGUACCUAAAUUAUUUAAUAGUUGUUUUUUAGAACGGAACUGAAUUAAAAUAUUUUCAGUGUAAGCUAACCAGCAUUAUUUUUCACAUUUUCCUUUUAAGAAAAGAAGAGC